rnacentral:rRNA from 1 species
GACGAACCGUGCGAACGUUGUUCGGAAUCACUGGGCGUAAAGGGUGCGUAGGCGGGGCUUUAAGUCAGGGGGGAAAUCCUGGAGCUCAACUCCAGAACUGCCUUUGAUACUGAAGAUCUUGAGUUCGGGAGAGGUGAGUGGAACUGCGAGUGUAGAGGUGAAAUUCGUAGAUAUUCGCAAGAACACCAGUGGCGAAGGCGGCUCACUGGCCCGAUACUGACGCUGAGGCACGAAAGCGUGGGGAGCAAACAGG